UCUCCGCUCUUUCUCUCUCGCUCUCUUCGUCUCCUUAACACUCUGGCCAUGUCCUCUGUAACGUCAGCCGUCUUGGAGUUACAUCUCUUAAAUCUCUACAUUUACUUCAAACCCAUUACUCAUCCGACUCUUUGUCAACUAGACAUAAUCAUUAUCAUCAAAGCUUGAUGGCUGGUCGUUGUUCAAACACCGCUGAGGUCCACCUUCUCCGGUUCUGGGAGGCGGGCGAACUGAUGAUGUCCACGUGCUCUUCCUUGAUGAGCAAUCGACCCUUAUCCAAGGAACUGUGAAUGCAAACCGACUCCACACGUACCAUGUUUUGUUUGUCUGUUGUUCACUGACACUGUUAAAUCAGCACAAAGCAUUUUUGAGCUAUUAUGUACAAUAAACCAUAACUCAGCCAAUCGGCUUACCAGGUCAGAGGUCACAACCCGUUUCGGUUCCACAAGAAAGAAGCAGCAGAGGAAAGUACGGGAACACAGUAGAAAAGCUUCAGGGCCCAAAAAACGGAGGCUUCUUUAUCAAAGUAGAGUCAAUGUGUGUGUGUGUGUAGAUAUAUGCUACCUGGAAGCGGAGCUGUUACUUCCGGAUGUUGAGUGGAUGAGCCGAACGAAUAUACCGAACGAAUAUAUGUAGAGAGACAUAUAUUUAGAAGACUAACUAACGUGGAGUAUAUUAGUAUAAAACAAUUGUUUUGACAUUAAGCUAAAGCUGAUGUUAGGACGGAACAUACAUUCUUUGUAAUUCUCUCUGUAUAAACAGUGGUUGGAUGAUUAUUAUUAUUAUUUUUUU